UCCCUGAUAGCUCAGUUGGUAGAGGAUCCACCUGCAAUGCAGGAGAUCGUGGUUCAAUUCCUGGGUCAGGGAA
rnacentral:tRNA from 1 species